rnacentral:rRNA from 1 species
GACAGAGGUCCCGAGCGUUGUUCGGAUUCAUUGGGCGUAAAGGGUGUGUAGGAGGCCAGGUAAGUCAGGUGUGAAAUCUCAGAGCUUAACUCUGAAACUGCGCUUGAUACUGCUUGGCUAGAGGAUCGGAGGGGGUAUCGGAAUUUAUGGUGUAGCAGUGAAAUGCGUAGAUAUCAUAAGGAACACCGGUGGCGAAGGCGGAUACCUGGAAGAUUCCUGACGCUGAAACACGAAAGCCAGGGGAGCAAACGGG